rnacentral:lncRNA from 1 species
CCCCAAACAUAACACUAAACAGAAUGAGCAAUCAAAUAUACACUUUCUUUUAUAAACAGAUGUUCUUUGAGACUAUCAUGUACGAUAAUAAUUACAACAUGAAGAUAUAUAUUUACUUUCUUACAAAUGUAACUUUCGUCAGCAAGUACACUUGUUAUCUAGAUUAGUGUUAUCAAACACAUCUCUCCUUUAUUUUAAUUUUAAAAGGGCUGAUAUGGCAGUAUGAGUAGAAUUAUGUACAAUAAUUUUGGAUGUAACAAGUCUUCUGAGUAGCUGAAAGUUAUUUGUCUAUCAGCUCAUAUUCAUAAUUUUGUCAUGUGACCAUAACAUCAUCAACCUUUUUUCAUGAUAUAACUCCUUAAAAAAUGGAAUUAAGUAUUGAAUAAUAAGGAAUGACUAAUAUUUUUUUCUGGUGAACACUUAUAAAUAACCUGCUACACAUGUAGUUUAGUAUGCACCACAUUUUUUACUUUAUUUGUUGGACAGCAGUCAUUCCUUAAAUAAUUUAAUCCUGAAUUAAAAAAAAUAUAUAAAUUCGUUAAAAUGAUUUGUUAUACAACAUGACAAAGACACUGAAACUACGAAUUGAAAAAAAAACCCAAAAAACAACACUAGACCAAUAGUUUUUCUUAGAUAUACACAGGAAAAUCCAUCGCUGAUAUAUCU